rnacentral:tRNA from 3 species
GGAGGAUUCGACUAGCGGCCUAUGUCACACGCCUGGAACGCGUGCGGGUAGCAAUACCCUCAAGGGUUCAAAUCCCUUAUCCUCCGCCA